AUUGAACGCUGGCGGCAGGCUUAACACAUGCAAGUCGAGCGGGGGAAGGUAGCUUGCUACCGGACCUAGCGGCGGACGGGUGAGUAAUGCUUAGGAAUCUGCCUAUUAGUGGGGGACAACAUCUCGAAAGGGAUGCUAAUACCGCAUACGUCCUACGGGAGAAAGCAGGGGAUCUUCGGACCUUGCGCUAAUAGAUGAGCCUAAGUCGGACUAGCUAGUUGGUGGGGUAAAGGCCCACCAAGGCGACGAUCUGUAGCGGGUCUGAGAGGAUGAUCCGCCACACUGGGACUGGAACACGGCCCAGACUCCUACGGGAGGCAGCAGUGGGGAAUAUUGGACAAUGGGGGGAACCCUGAUCCAGCCAUGCCGCGUGUGUGAAGAAGGCCUUAUGGUUGUAAAGCACUUUAAGCGAGGAGGAGGCUACUUUAGUUAAUACCUAGAGAUAGUGGACGUUACUCGCAGAAUAAGCACCGGCUAACUCUGUGCCAGCAGCCGCGGUAA
rnacentral:rRNA from 1 species